ensembl:lncRNA
AUUCGCUAUUAAAAUAUGGUAAAAUAACAAUUUUUCUCAUCUACAAGAUUUUAUGACUCCCUGGAAUCUAUAAUACUUCUAUUAGCUUUAAAGCCAUUUAUAUACUAGUGAAAUUAUGCUUUUCAAUAUGCACACAGAUCUGAAUUUUUUUGUGACUCAUAUUGGGCUACACAAAUUUUAUCCAAUCAAAUACCUUCUAGAGCAAGUCCCUCCUCCAAACACCAUCUGAAAGCGACUAACAGCACAGUGUAGCUCUGUGAAGUCUCUCAGUUGGAGAUGUAAGAAUAAUAACAGAUUUACCUUUACAGAAGAUCUGAACCGCUCUGAAUGUGAAGAAGUGUCCUGAGGAGCAGCAGGUGUUGAGAGCAGGUGAGAGAUGGGCAGAAACACCGCGAGCAAAACAAACACAACAGAUCGCAGUAUCACUCACUGACAGCGCGAAUAACAUCAGUGUAAACCUACAGAAUUACUUCAAUGCGAAAUAUAAGGACUGAGGACUUCAUGCGGAAAGUUACUUACAGAUUAAGGGAUGUGUUUGAACAGAAGCAGAGCUCUGGACGUGUGGACAGACUUUCACUGUAAUGAUGGACAUCCGCUCGUGGACAGAAGUAUAACCCCUGCUGGACAUGGUGCCGGGGCUCGGGGGGGACCCGAAUCAUCCCCAUCCCUUCAUUCACACAACACUCGCUCAUAUCGCGGAGAUCUGGCUGGGAUCGAACCAGCAACCUCUGAACCGUGAGGCAGCGCUCUUACCUGUGAGCCACAGAUCUCUUGCUUAAACUUGUGAAGGAACUUAUAUUUCACUGUUCACCUGCAUGUAAUUUUUACAUUAAACCAGUUAAAGCUCUGGCUGAGUCAUUUUCAAAUCAUCCUUACCCUUCACUCACAUCUGGCUGGGUUUGAACCAGCAACCUCUGAACCGUGAGGCAUCAGUUAUCUGAACACACACCAAGCUGGGAUUUGAACCCAUGCCUCAAUUCCAACUUCAUCAGCCAACAACAUGAGCUUAACCACUAACCCAUUGUGGUUUUCACAAGUGGACACAGCUUUUGUGGCACUUUGUUGAAUGUAACAACAAUAAUAUGAAAUGUAGAAUAGUGAGAUUUGAACUCCGCUCGCUUAGAUGAAAGUCCAGUGCUUUAUCUGCUGAGCCACUGAAUCUCUGGAGCUGUUUGGUGUUCUGGAUGAGGUUUUAUUAAGAACUUUGUCUGAACUAAUGAAGAACAACAGUAUUUCUGGGAUUUGAACCCAGACGUUGGCAAAUAAUAGAGAAAUUCUCCUUCACUGAGUUUGUGGCAUUUUCCUAGUUUUUUCCUAGUUUAGUUUAGCAACAGCAUCAUUAACAAUUUAAUAAGCAAUGGUGGGAUUUGAACUCAGGUCUCCACGAUUAAAACACAGCACUCAGUCAUCUGAGCUACUCAGUCUGUGGAGCUGAAGGGAGUUUUGGAGAGACUUUUAUUGAGGGCUUUUAAUGAUGUUAUGAAAAACUGUAGAUUGCGGAGUUUGAACCAAGAUGCUUGUGUUUGAAUGCAAGCGAUUAUCCUCAGCGCCACAGCGUUUGUGACAUCAGGGUUUUAUUGAGAUUUUGACUUUGUUUUACAUGAUUUGAACUCAGGACUCCAAGAUCAGUGCAUUAACAAAUCAGUCAGAAUCAAAUGUACAAACAAUCAUAAUUAUCUUUAAAAACCGUAUUGAUCCGUCAAAUGUCAAACUCCAACUGAUAAACAAACACACAACAUGUAAAUAUCAUCAUUUGUUAAUUUUGUUAUUAUUAUUUAUUUUAAUAAGAAACAUAGGGUCCAACAAACUUGCCUGGAAGUCUCUAGUGAUCCUAAACACCUUGAUUAGCUGCUUCAGGUGUUUUCAAUCAGUGUGGAGCUAAACUCAGGAAAGCGGUUCAGCAGGAGCAGGAUCAGACAGCACUGUUCAUAAUGCAGUUUUACAGAUAAUUGCAGAUACACGUGUUGUCCACAAAGUGGUGCUGAGUGCUGAUCUGAUCUCAUGCAUGUGUCUGUUCUAUUAAUUAUUAAAAAAAUAAGCAAAAAACAUUUCAAUGUUUAGUCACAAUAUUACUCCUUAGUUUGUCAGCUGUCAUUUUGAUACAGGGUUUAAUUAGCAUUUGUUCAGAUAACCUGCCAAUCUUUGCUAUAAGUGCAUGAGUGUUCAGUCACUCUGACCAGAGUUUGCUCUGUGUGGAUCAGACAGACUCACUUUACACCUGUUCUUACACACAUCCGGGUAGUGAAUAUAUCUGCCUGCUCACUGUCGCCCUCCUCCUCCAUCCAGAGCUUCAGACAGAGACUCGGAGCAGGAUGUGGAUUGGGAAGCAAUGCUUCUCAAGGGGGAGCUGGAGAACACAUUUCAGUUCCCCAAAACCAAUCAAGCAUUAAAAUAAAUACUGCUUGAGUCUGCA